rnacentral:lncRNA from 1 species
CAUCAGCAUUCUCAGACAGCACCUCCGGUUAGGGACAGUAUCUGACCGUCCGACAUCCCUGCAGCCCCCAUGUGUCACACAGACUCAGCCUCAGGUAGAUGGUUUCCGUAGAUGGUGGCUUUCUUUGGACCCUUGACAUCAACCAGUUACUAUUUGACUCUUCUGCAGAACCCCAUGUUGACCCCUGCUUUGAGGUGGCAGAGUUAACACUACUCUUCGUUAUAAGCUCUCGUCUGGGGCAACUCAGAAGAACGGGACCAGAUGUGCAGAGGUAAUGAAUACCAGGGAAUCAGGAAACCACUGGAUCAGUUCUUUGAGCCACAGAACAACACUCAUCCCAGCAGCUGGGAAGCUAUCUGCAAAAGUCCAUCUGCAGAAAGGGCUUCCUGGUCUUGCGUGUGGCUGGGCCAUUUCUCUGGAUGCAGGUUUUUCAUUAUACAGUCUUCUCAAAGAACCACCUGCUCUCAACACCUUCUCGGUGACUCCAUUUCCCCUCCUCUGGGCUCCUGGAAUGCCACAAUGGCCCCACCUUAGCCAGGCAGCUGUGAUGAGAGGUGUUGACCCAACUGCCUCUCUGCUGGCUCACUGAAUCAGGUGGAAGGGGCUGGGGACAGCACAGUCUUGCAUUGUGGUUGGGGACCUGGGCCAUCCAGAGGCAGGACUGUCCAAAGGCAGGGUACUGCUGGGAUUCCGCCAGGCACUGGGUGAUGCAUGGCAUAGGGAGCUGAAGAGGGACAGGCUCUUGGCCAGGAAAAACAGCCCCAGAGCCACAGGUGUGCCAUCGAGUCUUCCUCCUCUCCCAUCCUUAAUCACUCCUGUUUGGUGACAGCACACAGCUAGGCCUGGAGCCCAGCAAAGAGCCCCUGGGUCCCAGAGGAAGUUGUUCUGGGGGCUGGAGACAAUCACAAAUGCCAGGUUUGUGAGCCCCAGACUCUGGUUCAUAGCAAGAGGCAGACUUGUGAACAAACCACCAGAUCACACCGU